rnacentral:rRNA from 1 species
GGAAUAGGGUAUCAUAGAGGGUGAGAAUCCCGUCUUUGACUGAGAAUAUGCUACUAUGUGAUACGUUUUCAAAGAGUCGAGUUGUUUGGGAAUGCAGCUCAAAAUGGGUGGUAAAUUUCAUCUAAAGCUAAAUAUUGGCGAGAGACCGAUAGCGAACAAGUACCGUGAGGGAAAGAUGAAAAGAACUUUGAAAAGAGAGUUAAACAGUGCGUGAAAUUGUUGAAAGGGAAACGCUUGAAACCAGUCAUGCGGUUGGGAAAUCAGUCUCUGACGGGGGGGAAUGGGGGAGUUGUGGACCGCAAGGCCGCUCUUUUUCAUAUCUCUUUUGGCAGGGAUGCACUUUUUCUUCUGCAGGUCAACAUCAGUUUGCUUUGCCGGACAAAACUUGGGGGAAGGUGACAGCUUAGGCUGUGUUAUAGCCCUCGAGCGAUACGGUGGAGCGGACUGAGGUUUUCGCAGCAUGUGCUCUCGGGCAAGGCUGAUUGGGUGCUAUGAGAUCGUUCAGGGUACAAUACAUGUAUUUUGCUCUGUGUCCUUUUUAUACUCGCUCAACUCGGCUCUUCCAUGCUUAGGAUGUUGACAUAAUGGUUUUAAUCGACCCGUCUUGAAACACGGACCAAGGAGUCUAACAUAUAUGCAAGUGUUUGGGUGGCAAACCCAUGCGCGUAAUGAAAGUGAACGUAGGUGCGAUCCGCAAGGUGCAGCAUCGACCGAUCUUGAUAUUUUUGGAUAGAUUUGAGUAAGAGCAUAUAUGCUGGGACCCGAAAGAUGGUGAACUAUGCCUGAAUAGGGUGAAGCCAGAGGAAACUCUGGUGGAGGCUCGUAGCGAUUCUGACGUGCAAAUCGAUCGUCAAAUUUGGGUAUAGGGGCGAAAGACUAAUCGAACCAUCAGAGCGC